rnacentral:rRNA from 1 species
UACGGAGGGGGCUAGCGUUGUUCGGAAUUACUGGGCGUAAAGCGCGCGUAGGCGGACCUGCAAGUCGGGGGUGAAAGCCCGAGGCUCAACCUCGGAACUGCCUUCGAUACUGCGGGUCUCGAGUCCGGGAGAGGUGAGUGGAAUUCCUAGUGUAGAGGUGAAAUUCGUAGAUAUUAGGAAGAACACCAGUGGCGAAGGCGGUUGCCUGGAGCUUUGCUGACGCUGAUGCGCGAAAGCGUGGGGAGCGAUCCGG